rnacentral:rRNA from 1 species
UACAGAGGUGGCAAGCGUUGUUCGGAGUUACUGGGCGUAAGGGGCGCGUAGGCGGUCUUGUAAGUCUUGUGUGAAAUCCCUCGGCUUAACUGAGGAACUGCACGGGAUACAGCGAGACUUGAGAUCGGGAGAGGGAAGCGGAAUUCCGGGUGUAGCGGUGAAAUGCGUAGAUAUCCGGAGGAACACCGGUGGCGAAGGCGGCUUCCUGGACCGACACUGACGCUGAGGCGCGAAAGCUAGGGGAGCAAACGGG